rnacentral:lncRNA from 1 species
GUCGGAGAGGAAUGCCAACAUCCACUGAUGGAGGAGAAGAAAGAUGGAGGACGGGAGUGCCAGCAUCUACCAAUGGAGGAGAAGAAAUACUUUUAUUAACCAAAACAAUGUAAGUCAAACCUCUCGUUUACACAGAAAGACACUGGACACGUUUAUUGUAAAAAAUGACUUUCUAAAAAUGCUUGUAAAAUGUUGGACUUGAACACCAGAAUCCACUGAUGGAGAACAAGGAAGAUGGAAGAGUACCAUCAUCUACCAAUGGAGGAGGAGGAGGAGGAGGAGGAGAAAAAUGGGGGAGCACCAGCAUCCAAAAGUGUCCCACAAUCAGCCCCAGGAGGAGAUCUCAGCAGUGGAAAGAAAGACUAUUAACCAAAACAAUAGGAACGCCAACAUCCACUGAUGGAGGAGAAGAAAGAUGGAGGACGGGAGUGCCAGCAUCUACCAAUGGAGGAGAAGAAAUACUUUUAUUAACCAAAACAAUCAUCCACUGAUGGAGGAGAAGAAAGAUGGAGGACAGGAGUACACAAACAUCAGCACAAGACGGAGAUGAAGAAAGACUUCUAUCAAUCAACCAAAAACAAUGUAAGCAAAGCCUCUCGUUUGAACACACAUUUAAUAUAAAAAC